UACGUAGGCAGCGAGCGUUGUUCGGAAUUACUGGGCGUAAAGAGUGUGUAGGCGGUGCUCUAAGUUCGGUGUGAAAUCUCCUGGCUCAACUGGGAGGGUGCGCCGGAAACUGGAGUGCUUGAGCGUGGGAGAGGAAAGCGGAAUUCCAGGUGUAGCGGUGAAAUGCGUAGAUAUCUGGAGGAACACCGGUGGCGAAGGCGGCAUCCUGGACCGACACUGACGCUAAGGAGCGAAAGCCAGGGGAGCAAACGGG
rnacentral:rRNA from 1 species